UUAUUCUUUGGGAAUUGAGCAGGUGUAUGGAGGAAGCCUGGGUAACAAAGAAGCCCUGGGAUCCCCGUCUGACAAGUAGCUAGGAGACACAAAGCAGCCAUUGAGAGUGGAACUGGCUCCAGGAGUAAGCCCUGAUAAAAAUAGGUAGACUUCAACUGUGACCUGGCUGGAGGGCUGAGGCAGAGGGAACAGGAAGAUGCUGGCUAUUAGAAUGGCUGUCAGCUGGAUGUGCCAGAUACAGAGAGAACCACUACACCAUGCCUAGCCACAAAGAGAUGCUCCUGUGAGAGGGCUGCCGAGAGCGGAUUCGAGCCCAGGUGAAAAAAAAUCCCCCCUCCCCCCACCCAACGGAGGACCAACUAAACAGGGCCGACGAAGCCGGGCCCCUUUCCGGACCACUGAGUCCUGGUAAUUUGUACCCGUUUCCCCCUUCUCUCGACGGCCCUGCUUUCAGACAAUCUUCCAUUCAGAAACAGACUGAUUUAUAUGCCUCUCUUCACCAUCAUGGUUUGUGCACUACUGUUGCUUAGUGGUUUCUCUCUCUCCCUCCCUCAGGAGGGAGGAACAAUGUGUGUGUAGUUUGCCAGUGUAUGUCACAUGAUCCUCCCUCCCCUCUGCACCUGAUCAAAAGAGUGAGAGUCUGCUACAGCCCUAGUUAGUAUCUGGCACUUUAGCUCAAGCAGU